UCCCCCAGUAACGGCGAGUGAAGCGGGAAGAGCUCAAGCUUAAAAUCUCCAUACUUGUAUGGCGAAUUGUAGUCUAUUGAGGCUGUUGUCAGCAUCGCGAUUGGGGACAAGUCCCUUGGAAAAGGGCAGCAUGGAGGGUGAUACUCCCGUCUCUGCUCCAAUCUGCGGUGUGUACGAUACGCUUUCUUUGAGUCGAGUUGUUUGGGAAUACAGCUCAAAGUAGGUGGUAAAUUCCAUCUAAAGCUAAAUAUUGGUGCGAGACCGAUAGCGAACAAGUACCGUGAGGGAAAGAUGAAAAGAACUUUGAAAAGAGAGUUAAAGAGUACCUGAAACUGUUGAAAGGGAACCGUAUCGUUUCCAGUGUUGUAUCCUAUGCAUAUUUCAUUCGUGGAGUAAUUUACGGGUGCCCUGUGCAUGGGUGUGACGUCAGGGUCAGUUUGUAUGCUGCGGGAGAUGGUCAGUGAGGAGGUGCGUCACUUCGGUGAAAGUUAUAUCUCGCUGUCUAGUAGCCGUGGUUGAGACUGAGGUGCCUACAACAUGCCUUAAGGUUCUAUGUUGUCUCGUGUUGGUGACUGCUUUGAUAGCUUGCUAUGUCUGUGGUUUAUUAAUGCGAUUGAUGAUGUGGAUAACUUUUGCUGUUCGGGACUCUGGCGAAAUGGAGCGAUACGACCCGUCUUGAAACACGGACCAAGGAGUCUAACAUGUGUGCAAGUAUUAGGGCGUGGAAACCCAAAUGCGUAAUGAAAGUAAAUGCUGCUUAUGCAGCUGUGGUAGGAAAGGGCUGUCAAGGUCCUGGCACUAUCGACCGAUCAUGAGCCUACGGGCAAAAGAUUUGAGUAUGAGCAUAUAUGUUGGUACCCGAAAGAUGGUGAACUAUGCCUGAAUAGGGUGAAGCCAGGGGAAACUCUGGUGGAAGCUCGUAGCGAUUCUGACGUGCAAAUCGAUCGUCAAAUUUGGGUAUAGGGGCGAAAGACUAAUCGAACCAUCUAGUAGCUGGUUCCCUCCGAAAUUUCCCUCAGGAUAGCAGCAACUUUUUACGAUAGUUUUAUGAGGUAAAGCGAAUGAUUAGAGGCCUCGGGGAAGAAACUUCCUCGA
rnacentral:rRNA from 1 species